rnacentral:rRNA from 1 species
CUACGGGGGGCAGCAGUGAGGAAUAUUGCGCAAUGGGGGGAACCCUGAUGCAGCAACGCCGCGUGGAGGAUGACGCAUUUCGGUGUGUAAACUCCUUUUAUAUGUCAAGAAAAUGACGGUAGCAUAUGAAUAAGCACCGGCUAACUCCGUGCCAGCAGCCGCGGUAAUACGGAGGGUGCAAGCGUUACUCGGAAUCACUGGGCGUAAAGGACGCGUAGGCGGGUUGGAAAGUCAGGUGUGAAAUCCUACAGCUUAACUGUAGAACUGCACUUGAAACUUCUAAUCUAGAGUAUGGGAGGGGGAGAUGGAAUUAGUGGUGUAGGGGUAAUAUCCGUAGAUAUCACUAGGAAUACCUAAAGCGAAGGCGAUCUCCUGGAACAUUACUGACGCCAAGGCGUGAAAGCGUGGGGAGCAAACAGGAUUAGAUACCCGAGUAGUC